GCACCAUCUUGGAAGAAGAGAAUGGCCUCACCAGAUGCCAAGCCUGCUGGCGCCUUGACCUUAGGAUCGCCAGCCUCCAGAACUCUGAAGAAAACUCUGCUUUAAAAUGAUUCAUGUGAUUAGAUUGGGCCCACCUGGACAAGCCCUCACUGUGCCAUGUGCUUUUGAAGAAAUGGAACCAUGUGACCUAUAGAGUUUCUCAUCUUUUGGAUUUUUCUAAUUGUGUCUCCUGGGUAUCAUCUAACCCACCGGUCCGUGGCCUGUUAGGAACGGGACCGCACAGCAAGAGAAUCUUGCCCUGUCGCCCAGGCGAUCUCGGCUCACUGCAACCUCCGCCUCCCAGCA